GGCAGCCCCUCUCGGCGACGACCACCACGGGUGUGCCUCCAUCUCCCUCGAGACUCCAGCUCCCCGGCGGCCUUCCCUCCUUCCCCCAAGUCCAUGAUCACUGCUGCUUCAAGGCCGAGGAGGCCAUCGGGUAGCAGCGAGCUCGGGGUCGCAGUCCAACAAUGCAAGGAGCCAAGGAGGGUGGUCCAGCCGAGAGAAGGAGGUUGCGAGAGGGGAUGAAGCGGCAGUUGCGCGGCCGCGUUGACCCGAGCUGGUUGCGAGAGCGGAUGGAGUGGCGGCUUCACGGAUUCCUUAUUGGAGGUGCCGCAUCUGCUUCAUCUUGCGAUUAUAUAGGUUGUAAGAAAGAGCCAAGAUUAAAACUGGUGCAUAGCAUCCAGGUUUUUGUCGAACUGCGAUGGAGAUCGCUCUUCUGUUGUUGGAUGUGAGAGCCCCUCUCAUGCCGGAGAACACUAUACAUGUUUUUUUGUGUUCCCUAUUAACAGCUAUAAGUGCAGCGGGGUUAAAACAGUGUGGCGGGAAACAUGAGAGAAGAUGAUUGUACGUGGUAUAUGUAUGAUAGAAUCAAUGGAAGCGAUUGGCUUAGUAAGUUUACAUGGAGAAACAGUUCAAGAAAUAUCUUGUUUGAACAGCUUAGCAUGUUUUUUCUU